rnacentral:snRNA from 1 species
UUUCGCUUUCUGAUUCUCUC